UUGAGCCUUGAUGUGUAGGAUAGGUGGGAGGCUUUGAAGUGUGGACGCCAGUCUGCAUGGAGCCGACCUUGAAAUACCACCCUUUAAUGUUUGAUGUUCUAACGUGGACCCGUUACCCGGGUUGCGGACAGUGUCUGGUGGGUAGUUUGACUGGGGCGGUCUCCUCCUAAAGAGUAACGGAGGAGCACGAAGGUUGGCUAAUCCUGGUCGGACAUCAGGAGGUUAGUGCAAUGGCAUAAGCCAGCUUGACUGCGAGCGUGACGGCGCGAGCAGGUGCGAAAGCAGGUCAUAGUGAUCCGGUGGUUCUGAAUGGAAGGGCCAUCGCUCAACGGAUAAAAGGUACUCCGGGGAUAACAGGCUGAUACCGCCCAAGAGUUCAUAUCGACGGCGGUGUUUGGCACCUCGAUGUCGGCUCAUCACAUCCUGGGGCUGAAGUAGGUCCCAAGGGUAUGGCUGUUCGCCAUUUAAAGUGGUACGCGAGCUGGGUUUAGAACGUCGUGAGACAGUUCGGUCCCUAUCUGCCGUGGGCGCUGGAGAACUGAGGGGGGCUGCUCCUAGUACGAGAGGACCGGAGUGGACGCAUCACUGGUGUUCGGGUUGUCAUGCCAAUGGCACUGCCCGGUAGCUAAAUGCGGAAGAGAUAAGUGCUGAAAGCAUCUAAGCACGAAACUUGCCCCGAG
rnacentral:rRNA from 1 species